rnacentral:rRNA from 1 species
CCCUUGUAUUAAUGUUUUAUUUAAUUAGUAUUAAGAUUUAUGAAAAUUAAAAAUUUUGGCAGUUAAUUUCAAAUUAAAGGAGCUUGUUAUGAAAUGAGAAUUUACUCUUUAUAUUUUAAUAUUAAUUUUGUUUAUUCAUUUCUGUUAUUAAAAUAGUAUUUUAAUAUAGUAUUUAUUUAAAAUUUCAGGUCAAUAUGUAGCAAUUUAUUAUUAAUAAUUAGCUACAUUUAUAUAAUUAAUGGUUAAAUGAAUUUUAUAAAUUUUUAUAAAUUGAAUUUAGUUGUAAUAAUAUUUAUAAUGAUAUUGUGAUUUAGGGUUAUUAAUGU